rnacentral:tRNA from 1 species
CGGGGUGUAGUUUAACGGCAGAAUGCGCGGCUGGGGGCCGUGCGGUUGGAGUUCGAUUCUCCGCACCCCGA